rnacentral:lncRNA from 1 species
AAGGAAAUCUAUGACAACAGUGUCAGGACUAUGAAGGAAGCUCAAGGGACAUCUGUGGUGACUGACGGGGUUCCGUGAGGUGGUGAGACUGGAAGCAGAAUGAGAGAGUCAAAGACAGAGAC